GGUUGUUCUGAGUACAGUGGCGUUUACAAUUAAUUGAUCACAACCAGUUACGGAUUCCUUUGUUCCUUUUCCACUCCCACUGCUUCACUUGACCAGGCUUUA
rnacentral:Y_RNA from 1 species